AGAUUGAACGCUGGCGGCAGGCCUAACACAUGCAAGUCGAGCGGUAACAGAGAGUAGCUUGCUACUUUGCUGACGAGCGGCGGACGGGUGAGUAAUGCUUGGGAAACUGCCCAGUCGUGGGGGACAACUAUUGGAAACGAUAGCUAAUACCGCAUACGCCCUACGGGGGAAAGAAGGGGACUCUUCGGAGCCUUUCGCGAUUGGAUGUGCCCAAGUGGGAUUAGCUAGUUGGUGAGGUAAAGGCUCACCAAGGCAACGAUCCCUAGCUGGUUUGAGAGGAUGAUCAGCCACACUGGAACUGAGACACGGUCCAGACUCCUACGGGAGGCAGCAGUGGGGAAUAUUGCACAAUGGACGAAAGUCUGAUGCAGCCAUGCCGCGUGUAUGAAGAAGGCCUUCGGGUUGUAAAGUACUUUCAGCGAGGAGGAAAGGUUAGUAGUUAAUAACUGCUAGCUGUGACGUUACUCGCAGAAGAAGGACCGGCUAACUCCGUGCCAGCAGCCGCGGUAAUACGGAGGGUCCGAGCGUUAAUCGGAAUUACUGGGCGUAAAGCGUACGCAGGCGGUUUGUUAAGCGAGAUGUGAAAGCCCCGGGCUCAACCUGGGAACUGCAUUUCGAACUGACAAACUAGAGUUUUGUAGAGGGUGGUAGAAUUUCAGGUGUAGCGGUGAAAUGCGUAGAGAUCUGAAGGAAUACCAGUGGCGAAGGCGGCCACCUGGACAAUAACUGACGCUCAUGUACGAAAGCGUGGGGAGCAAACGGGAUUAGAUACCCCGGUAGUCCACGCCGUAAACGAUGUCAACUAGCCGACUGAAUCCUUGAGAUUUGGGUGGCGCAGCUAACGCAUUAAGUUGACCGCCUGGGGAGUACGGCCGCAAGGUUA
rnacentral:rRNA from 1 species